CAAGAUGGUGGCGGCUGCUUUAUGCAACAUAAUUCUUCAGUAGGGAGACGCCCCGAGCAAGCAGAGCGAGCGGGGCCGGGAGUGGGAAUGCGAACCCAGCGCAAGCGAACGCCUGAGCGGGCGCUGGAGCGGGCGCUGGAGCCCCGGGUGGAGCCCAGCGGAGCUCAGCUGCGGAGGACCGAGGCUUCUUGGGAGUCAAAUAAUAGGCUUAUAUUAGGAUUCCUACCCUGGAAGCUGAUACCUGAUCUUUGUAUGGGGACCACUGGUGGGAUGCUUGAUUCUACAAGCUUGUCUGAGUUCUGAAAAGCUAAUUUCAAAGAUGAAACAGGUGCAGAGGUGAAGACAAGGACUUCUGUCUUAUCCUGGAGACAGGAGUCUUUGAGGAUGAAAUGAGACUUCUGACAAGAGAUUUGACUGGCCAUACAUUUAUUCAGAUUCCUCUGAUAUUCCUUUUUUUUUUUUUUUUUUGUCUCGUUCUCCUUUGAGCUUGCAUCUAUAUAGCAUGUUGGGGUAUUAUGCAUAUGACCCAGAUCCCUAGAAUAAUCCAGAAAGACGAAUUGAAGUUUGACAGAGAACAUUGCACUUGUGAUAGAGAAAACAAAGAUGAGGCAUAUGCUCCAGAACCACCAUCCACCCUCAUCAGAGAAGAGAAAGCAGAAACUAGCCCAGGGCCACAGGGACAGAGGAGGGGGCUAAUCUGUUCAAAAUUGGAGACAGAAUAAAAUGACCCCUGCCUGGGACAGAUGAAGAAAUGUCUCUGAGGAAAUGUCAUUCCACUCCUCUGGAGUGCUCAGUAGGUGGUUAGGUUUGUAACCCAUCCCUCCCCCCACUUCUGUC
rnacentral:lncRNA from 1 species